rnacentral:rRNA from 1 species
GAUGAACGCUGGCGGCGUGCCUAAUACAUGCAAGUCGAGCGAACAGACGAGGAGCUUGCUCCUCUGACGUUAGCGGCGGACGGGUGAGUAACACGUGGAUAACCUACCUAUAAGACUGGGAUAACUUCGGGAAACCGGAGCUAAUACCGGAUAAUAUAUUGAACCGCAUGGUUCAAUAGUGAAAGACGGUUUUGCUGUCACUUAUAGAUGGAUCCGCGCCGCAUUAGCUAGUUGGUAAGGUAACGGCUUACCAAGGCAACGAUGCGUAGCCGACCUGAGAGGGUGAUCGGCCACACGGGACCUGAGACACGGUCCAGACUCCUACGGGAGGCAGCAGUAGGGAAUCUUCCGCAAUGGGCGAAAGCCUGACGGAGCAACGCCGCGUGAGUGAUGAAGGUCUUAGGAUCGUAAAACUCUGUUAUUAGGGAAGAACAAAUGUGUAAGUAACUAUGCACGUCUUGACGGUACCUAAUCAGAAAGCCACGGCUAACUACGUG